rnacentral:rRNA from 1 species
UAGCGUCUAUUGCUGGCGUAUGUGUUACACAUGCAAGUCGAGCGGACAGAUGGGAGCUUGCUCCCUGAUGUUAGCGGCGGACGGGUGAGUAACACGUGGGUAACCUGCCUGUAAGACUGGGAUAACUCCGGGAAACCGGGGCUAAUACCGGAUGGUUGUUUGAACCGCAUGGUUCAAACAUAAAAGGUGGCUUCGGCUACCACUUACAAAUGGACCCGCGGCGCAUUACCUAGUUGGUGAGGUAACGGCUCACCAAGGCAACAAUGCGUAGCCGACCUGAGAGGGUGAUCGGCCACACUGGGACUGAAACACGGCCCAAACUCCUACGGGAGGCAGCAGUAGGGAAUCUUCCGCAAUGGACAAAAGUCUGACGGAGCAACGCCGCGUGAGUGAUGAAGGUUUUCGGAUCGUAAAGCUCUGUUGUUAGGAAAAAACAAGUACCGUUCAAAUAGGGCGGUACCUUGACGGAACCUAACCAAAAAGCCACGGCUAACUACGUGCCAGCACCCGCGGAAAUACGUAGGUGGCAAGCGUUGUCCGGAAUUAUUGGGCGUAAAGGGUUCGCAGGCGGUUUCUUAAUUCUGAUGGGAAAGCCCCCGGGUCAACCGGGGGAGGGUCAUGGGAAACUGGGGAACUUGAU